UCCACAAUGGGCGAAAGCCUGAUGGAGCGACGCCGCGUGUGGGAGUAAGCCCUUCGGGGUGUAAACCACUGUCAGGGAUCACCAAGCGACCGGGGCGAACAGUCCCGGAAGUUGAAGGAGUCCCCAGAGGAAGUCACGGCUAACUUCGUUGCCAGCAGCCGCGGUAAGACGAAGGUGGCGAGCGUUGUUCGGAAUUACUGGGCUUAAAGAGCACGUAGGUGGGCUUGCAAGCGUCUUGUGAAAGCCCCCGGCUUAACCGGGGAAUUGCAGGGCGAACUGCCAGCCUUGAGGCAGGUAAGGGCGAGUGGAACUCUUGGUGGAGCGGUGGAAUGCGUAGAUAUCAAGAGGAACGCCGGAGGUGAAGACGACUCGCUGGGCCUGUCCUGACACUGAGGUGCGAAAGCCAGGGGAGCAAACGGGAUUAGAUACCCCGGUAGUCCUGGCCUUAAACGAUGUCCACUAGGUCGGAGGCCUUCUGACAGGCUUCUGGCUGCAAGAAAACCAUUAAGUGGACCGCCUGGGGAGUACGGUCGCAAGGCUAAAACUCAAAGGAAUUGACGGGGGCUCACACAAGCGGUGGAGCAUGUUGCUCAAUUCGAUGCAACGCGAAGAACCUUAUCCUGGGCUUGACAUGUUCGGAUGCCUCCCUGGAAACAGGGUUGGUUGCCCUUCGGGGUGAAACGUUCACAGGUGCUGCAUGGCUGUCGUCAGCUCGUGUCGUGAGAUGUUGGGUUAAGUCCCGUAACGAGCGAAACCCUUGUCGCUAGUUGCCAGCGAGUUAUGUCGGGGACUCUAGCGAGACUGCCGGUGUCAAACCGGAGGAAGGUGGGGAUGACGUCAAGUCCUCAUGGCCUUUAUGCCCAGGGCUGCAAACGUGCUACAAUGGCUGAUACAAACCGACGCAAGACCGUGAGGUGGAGCAAAUCGGAAAAAAACAGCCCCAGUUCGGAUUACAGUCUGCAACUCGACUGUAUGAAGUUGGAAUCGCUAGUAAUCGCAGAUCAGCAAUGCUGCGGUGAAUGUGUUCCUGAGCCUUGUACACACCGCCCGUCAAGUCAUGGAAGCCGGUAGCGCCCGAAGUCGG
rnacentral:rRNA from 1 species